GAGCGGUGACGACUAUCUGCGCAAACUGUGAUGGAUUAUUCUGUCACCACCGUCAGAUCUUGGGACGAUUAGCGGCGCAUCUGAGCUC